CCAAAUUAGGCAGGUAUCUUAUCGCCUAGGACGGUUCCUCCAAAUUAGGUGGGUAUCCUUGGGCCAAAUUAGGCAGGUAUCUUAUUGCCUAGGAGGUUCCGUCAAAUUAGGUCGGUAUCCUCUGUGCCCGUGCCGGGAACAAACGAGUAUCCAUGAUGUUUAGGAUUUUUGGUUCCCUAGAAUUUCCUCCCCAGAAAAAUCGGGUGUCUACACUCAUUAAGAAAAACAUUUUAGAAUCUAACCUGAACUCUAAUCCAACGCUACAAAUAAAGGUAAUGGGUCUGCUAUUUGUAUCUCUCUAAAACCGUAAUGUUUUGAUGUCAAAAUUUUGUUAGCAUCGACACUUAGCAUAGAAGCCACCCAUUCUCUCAUUAGCCUCUUUCAUAGCCAUUUUGUAUAACCCUUUUUAACCCAUCUUCAUACCCAUUAUAAGCUCUGUUACACUAUGCUCUCUCCAUGGCCAUUACGUAUUGUUUGAUUAAGGCUCAUCCAUGGCUCCUUGUCGUCACUCUUCAAGGAAUGAUUUUAGCUUUCUUUUGUCCCUUGAAUUCAUGCAGCAGUUGUCUCUCAUAGUCCCCAUUGGAGUUGGUCACUUUGAGCCUUACAUUGAAUACUAUGUGUGUGCUUGAUUGAUUUGAGAAUUGACCACCAUUUCCUUCGCACUUUAGUAGCCAGAUUCUUCUCCACAUGUGGCAUUCUCACUCUUAAUAAAAUCUUUCCUGUGGCUCUUAUGUAAUCCCUAGGGAAUCCUAUUCAACAUUUUCUACUUACACCCACCGGGUGCUUUCAUUACCAAGCCCUAUACAUCUUGGGCUUCUAAGUUACCAAAAACAAAGCCUCCUCAAUGAUUAUUGAUUUUGUCCGUCACAGUCCUAACAGGUCUAUGAUGAGCUUGGGACUUAUCUUGGGACCAUCAUGGACUUGCCAGGUCCAUGAUGGGUCUUCACGGACCUAAUAAGUUUCUUAAGCCCCAAGCACCCACUUGGGAGAUUCUAGGGGGAUUGGGACCAUCAUAGACCUAAUAGGUUUGUGAUGGACCAUCAUGGAUGGGAUUUUGGGUAAAAAAAAUAAAACGAGAAAAUGAGUGUGCGCUUAAAAUUAAGGAAAUUAUUUUUUGAAUUAUUGAAAUGGAUAUUUUUUAUAGUAUCCCUUUAUGUUUUUAUAUCCAUGAGAUUGAAGCAAUGUCCAUGUAAUCAAGUCUCUUGGUUAUCAUUUUUGUGGUUGAUUUUAUGUAAUACAUGUGCUGUUUUGUGGUGCUUACAUAGUCUAGUAAAUUGCAAUCUCCAUUGCAUGAAAAAAAUGGAAUGUUGGUUUGGCGCAUGAUGCUUCCUUCAGUGUCAAUUCAAACGUAAUUGAGUUUAUUCUAUUAGUUCAUAUCAUGUAUAUGUUGNNN
rnacentral:lncRNA from 1 species